UCAUCUUCGGGGGUAGAGCACUGUUUCGGCUAGGGGGUCAUCCCGACUUACCAACCCGAUGCAAACUACGAAUACCGAAGAAUGUUAUCACGGGAGACACACGGCGGGGGCUAACGUCCGUCGUGAAGAGGGAAACAACCCAGACCGCCAGCUAAGGUCCCAAAGUCAUGGUUAAGUGGGAAACGAUGUGGGAAGGCACAGACAGCCAGGAUGUUGGCUUAGAAGCAGCCAUCAUUUAAAGAAAGCGUAAUAGCUCACUGGUCGAGUCGGCCUGCGCGGAAGAUGUAACGGGGCUAAACCAUGCACCGAAGCUGCGGCAGCGACACUAUGUGUUGUUGGGUAGGGGAGCGUUCUGUAAGCCUGCGAAGGUGUGCUGUGAGGCAUGCUGGAGGUAUCAGAAGUGCGAAUGCUGACAUAAGUAACGAUAAAGCGGGUGAAAAGCCCGCUCGCCGGAAGACCA
rnacentral:rRNA from 1 species